rnacentral:rRNA from 1 species
CCUACGGGGGGCAGCAGUGGGGAAUCUUCCGCAAUGGACGAAAGUCUGACGGAGCAACGCCGCGUGAGUGAUGACGGCCUUCGGGUUGUAAAGCUCUGUUAAUCGGGACGAAUGGUUCUUGUGCAAAUAGUGCGAGGAUUUGACGGUACCGGAAUAGAAAGCCACGGCUAACUACGUGCCAGCAGCCGCGGUAAUACGUAGGUGGCAAGCGUUGUCCGGAAUUAUUGGGCGUAAAGCGCGCGCAGGCGGAUUGGUCAGUCUGUCUUAAAAGUUCGGGGCUUAACCCCGUGAUGGGAUGGAAACUGCCAAUCUAGAGUAUCGGAGAGGAAAGUGGAAUUCCUAGUGUAGCGGUGAAAUGCGUAGAUAUUAGGAAGAACACCAGUGGCGAAGGCGACUUUCUGGACGAAAACUGACGCUGAGGCGCGAAAGCCAGGGGAGCGAACGGGAUUAGAUACCCGGGUAGUC